GAUGAACGCUGGCGGCGUGCCUUAUACAUGCAAGUCGAGUGGGUUUAGACCCACGGCACACGGGUGAGUAACACGUAGGUACUUUCCUUGUCACAGGAAUAACCCUCCGAAAGGAGGGCUAAUACCUGAUGUGAUCGCAAGAUUAAAGGGUAUCCGCAAGGAUUACCGGACAAGAAGAGGCCUGCGGCCUAUCAGCUAGUUGGCGGGGUAAAUGCCCACCAAGGCUAUGACGGGUAGCUGGUCUUAUGAGGAUGAUCAGUCACAUGGGCACUGAGACACGGGCCCAACUCCUACGGGAGACAGCAGUAGGGAAUUUUGCGCAAUGGGCGAAAGCCUGACGCAGCGACGGCGCGUGCGGGAGGAAGGCCUUCGGGUAGUAAACCGCUUUUAUAAGGGACGAACUUUGACGGUACCUGAUGAAUAAGAGGUUGCUAACUCUGUG
rnacentral:rRNA from 1 species